AUGGGCUUGAGAGCGAUACAGCGAGUGUUUGAUCAAUAUCCGGACCCGAACAGACCAGAUGUGGAAUUGAUGUCACUUCUGAAAUUAUGUCUGAAAAACAAUGAUUUUGAAUUUGAUGGCCAGCAAUACUUACAGGUGGAGGGUACAGCCAUGGGUCACAGAUAUGCCCCUUCCUAUGCAAACAUUUAUAUGAGUGAGUGGGAACGGGAGGCACUACAGAAAUGCCCAUUGAAACCCACUUUUUAUUUUCGAUUUCUGGAUGACAUCAUUGGAGCCUGGAGCCAUGGACGGGAGAACUUUCAAACUUUUUUUGAAACCUUAAACAACCAUCAUCCCUCCAUUAAAUGCAAAUAUGACCUGCAAUCCGAUGAAAUUAAUUUUUUAGACACUACAAUAUUCUUUGAAUCCAUUGAUACAGACAAUAAAAGAUUACUGUCCCGGGUUUACUUUAAACCCACAGAUACUCAUGCACUACUUCAUAAGGCCAGUUAUCAUCCCAAACACACGUUCAAAGGCAUAAUCAAAUCACAGAUCAUCCGCUUUCAUAGAAUAUCUUCCAGAGAGACAGACCUGAACCAGGCCAUUUCCACACUGUUCUGCAGCCUCAGAACACGCGGCUACUCCAGGAGGUUUCUCAGGGCCAUCAAAACAAACACACUGGCAUCUAUCAACAACCCCUCUCCGUCUCUCCCCUCUCCUCACCGACUGACUCCUUUGCUGCCUCCUCCUCCUCCCCACAGCCGAGAAGGCAGACCUCGAGAUGGGAGACAAGACAGGAAGAUGGAGAACCUCAUCCCCCUGGUCACAACUUACUCUAAACCUUACCUUAAUCUGCAGAGCAUCUGGAAAGAAAACUUUCACACUACCAUGACGGGUCACAGGUUAUUCCACAACCACAAGAUAAUCUCAGCUUUUCGGAGAAACAAAAACCUGAGAGACCUGUUGACUCAAGCAAAGUUCUGCAGAUACAAAAGUACAAGUGAUGACGACACACAUUGGGCCUUCAGGCAGGUAAAGUUUUUAUUCAACAGACAUAGCGGUGCUGGUAUAGCAGUCAAUGGCAGAUUCAACUUGAAUAGCUUCAAUCUGGUUUACUGCAUUGUUUGUCAGACCUGUGGAAAGAUGUAUGUGGGUGAGACAGGAAAAACACUUCUCACCAGAUUGAAACAGCACAUCCACAACAUUCAAGUGGCAAAGCUGAAUUCUCUCCUGGUCCAACACUUCCAGCUUCAUCCCCUUCACAGCCUCACCAUAUCAGGCAUUCAAACCUGUGCUACAUGGACAACUGGACAGAGGAGGAGACAUGAGUCAUCAUGGAUCAAUAAAUUACUGACCAGGACCCCUCUGGGACUAAACAGUUGA
rnacentral:lncRNA from 1 species